UGGGCCUGAAAUCAGUUCGUAAUGUGUUAUGCAACAUAUUACUUUGCAACAAAAACAGUCUUCUUCCACAAGAGAAAUGAACAAAACCAAUACGCCAAAAAUCAAACCACACUUCUGUUUACAAUACUUGUUAUAUAACUAUAUAUUUAGCUAGUCCCAAGUGUUCUCUAGGACAAAAUACAAUUUAUCCCAUUUGUUGAAAGCAAUGUAAUUGUACAUCCAUGGAUGAAUUUGGCCAUGUGUCUGCUUUUACAGGAGAAAGCUAGUACAUCUUUCCCCUGCCUAACUAGAAUGAUCAUAAGUUUUAAAACGUGUACAUAGAGUUAUUCUGUAUUUAAAAAGCAUAGCCUUUUCACCAAGAUGAUGCUAGGUAGAAUACAGAGAGAAAGAGACAGAGAUCAUGCAAUUGCAACACAAAGUUAGUUACUGACUAUUGGUUUACUGACUCUUGAAGUUCAAAAGGCGCAGGUAACAUAUAGUAAUACCGUAUAACUGUUUCAUGGGCUUGGGAAGGCUACUUUUAGAUUUCAAGAAUUAUUGAUAAAGCAUCAAGCAAUUUUCAGUGUUACCACACUACGUAUUUCAAAAUUGUACAAAACAAAGCUGUCAAAAACAUGGCUUUUUUUCAGUUAGUGCUGAAAGAGUUAAAAAAUUGGAUGAUAGGAUGAGAAAAGACUCAUGAGAAAGCAGGAAGAGGAGGAAAAAGAGCCAGGUAAAAAAAUAGUAAGAAUUAAAAUAGGACAAUGCAGUAAGUACUCAAAUUCAGAAGUAUGUAGGUUGGAAGCUGGCCUUGAUAUCCCAACAUCUUAUGUGCCCCGACAUUCUUUCAAGUGCGUACUGGAGCUUUUCCAAGUUACAAAGUGACUGCUCCAGCAGAAUCAGCAGCAAUUAUACAAUGGAAUUCUUCAGACUCAAAAAUUCAUAAGUAACAAUAUAGAGUUAUUGUUUAAGCUACAAAAAAGGGAAAAAAAAUCUAGAUGCACCAUUUAUUUUGGGUUUCUGUUUAUGGAUUGGAGGGUUGGAACCUCAUUUUUUCCUCUAGCUUCUGUUGGAGGCGGUUGGCAUAAGGAAAAAUGAAAACUGCACUUCAAAAGAAAAGCUUCAAAGAGAACAUUUUAUGUAGCAGUAGAUGCCAAGGCAGCACUACCAUGGACCAAAUUCCUGUUUUCUGGUCCAUUUGUUGACAAACACUUGUUCUGAACACAACUGCAAGUUAUAAAAAUAGCGAAUGAAAUAUCCUAAUUUUUUUAAAAUAUGUUUUGGCAUGUUCUCUUUUGAAAGAAAAUUCCAAUUUCUUCAGGCUUCACUCAUUUCUAAUGCACCUCGCCACUGCCAUUUCUGCCGGUCUAAAACAACCAAAAAAAAAACAAAAACAAAAACCUGCAAGAAUGAGAAACCACCCCCACAAAAACAUAGUAAAUUCACUGCCUAUAAGGAGAAACUAGCAAUGUGUAGCAGAUAUGCCUCACCGGCACCCAGUCAGCCUAGCAAUAAAGUUCCUCAAACACCAGGAGCAGGAGUUGAAACUCCAAAGUUUCAAUGAAUAAAGUUGCUGAACAUUUCUCUCAAUUGUACUGUUCAGUGGAUCUGAAACCCUCAUAGCUGCUCACUAUGGCCUAUAUUAAGAGACAAUCUAUAUUUUUUCAGGACUUUAAUAAGUUCUCUAACAUCUCUUUUCCAAAUACUACUAGCAUCUCCAACAGCCUUUCAUUACAAGUUUUAAUUUCUCAUGGCUGAGUCCUGAACACAAAGUAAAGGACAAUUUUAAUCUCUGCUAAUGUACCUGGUGAGUUCAGUGGAAGAGAAAGGGAGGUCAGCAAAGGUAAAACUGGACUGUUCAGCAGCAAUCAAGUGGAAAGAUGGAAAGUGAUAUGUAAAUUUCAAUGGGAUUGAUUUUGCUAGAGUUUUUCCCUUCUCUGUGGUUAGAAGCAAGCAUUUAGGCUCAGAUUUAAAGUGUGCGUAAGAUACAUAUAAAGGUCAGUUCAACACUAACACUGAGUUGUGCAUUCCAGGAUCGUCUAACCUGCUUGGUCAUUGGUCUUCUUGUCAAUCUCACAUCUGCAACUACUAUAAACGGAGGCAAAGCCUAAUCCUGGGUGUUCUAGAGAAAGUUGAAGGUCCUACUUAAUUCUUAUUAAAAAUACAGUACCUAACCUGUGGAAGAAGUUUGCUCUCAGGGAUUACAUUCUGUUCUUCUGCAUUUAUUAGACACCACAAGAAAGAAUGCUUUGCAAGGCUCAUACAAGUAGAACUUCACAGAAUUUAAGGCCUGAAGGGACCAUUAGAUCAUCUAGUCUGACCUUCCGUACAAAACAGGUCAUUAAAUUUCACCCAACUAUCUUUGUAUUGAGCCCAAUAACUUGUGCUGCUACAGCAAAUCAGUCUUGAUUUGAGGACAUGGAGACAUGAAAAAUCCACCAUUUCCCUUGACAGUUUGUUAAAAACUUGUGCCUAAUUUCUAACGUGAAUUUCACUUCAGCUUCCAACCACUGGUUUUUAUUAUACUUUUCUCCGCUAGACUGAAGAACCCAUUAGUACCUGGUAUCUUCUCCCCAAAGGAGUAUUUUUAAACUGUAAUCAAGCCACCACUCGAUCUUCAUUUUGGUAAGCUGAACAGACUGAGCUCUUUAAGUCUCCCACUACCAGGCAUUCUUUCCAGCCCUUGAAUCAUUGUGGUUUUUUUCUCAACCAUCUCAAAUUUUUCAACAUCUUUUAAAAAGUGUGGAUAUCAGAACUGGAUACAGUAUUCCAAUAUUGGUCUCAUCAAUGCCAUAGACAUAGGUAUAUGCCACAGCAUUGCACUAGGAUCUCACGUUCAGUUGCCAUGACACCCAAUUUCUUUCCAGAGUGUCUGCUUUCCAGGAUACAGUCUACCAUUCUCUCUAGUGACCCCCAACUGAGCACCGCUACUGAAAAUCUCCGAUCUGUGGUGCAGGGACACACCGACACCUGAAGUGGAGCACCCAAAGGGACACACAUCUAGAAGAAUCCUCGUGACAACAUAAGGAGAAAAAAGAAAGUAUGACGACAUAUUUAGACACAAGACAUGGGAAGAGCCAAUGUGAUGACAAUGGAGAGACAUUUAAAUGUUUGGCAAAGUCACUUCGCAUGCCAAAGCAGAGACACAAGUCAUCCUGAAGCUGCUGUCAGACUAACCAGUGUAGAGACUGAAGACACUACUACAAAGCAGACAUCACCUAUCAAUCAAUAUGCCAAUUAAGCUAAUUGGACUUUUAACUACUUCACUGUCAUGUAACUCACAUUCUGGGAAUACUUGCUGGGAAGUAUACAUACUGGGAAUGAGCAUGAUCUGGAAGUCAGAGGACAGGACUGAAGUCAGGAAGAUUGCUUGGUUCUGCUACCAACUUGCUUUGUAACCUUGGAUAUGUCACUUACAUAAACUGAAAUACAGAAGUUAUCUGUAAAAGAGGGACACUACCUUACUGCCUCAUGGGAGCUUUAGGAGAUGCUUACACUUUGUAUAGCACUUUGUGAUCCUCUUAUUAUGGGCACUACAGAAUUGCAAAGUAUUAUUACCUGGACGCCAAUUAUGCUUCAACCAUGGAAUCUACAGAAAAAUUGACCCUUUAUCACAAAUGUGCUAAGAAUCUAAGCUUACAUUAAAAACAAGCUUCUCAUCCUUAUAGUUACAAAUAUAACUUUCAACUAUAACAGAGCAUAAACAAAUUAUGUGUCAUCUUCCAGACAGACAACCUGAAACAAUAACUCUGCAAGAUGUAAGCUAUACCAUUCAUCUCAUUGGAGGAUUAAGUCUGAAUCCUAAAGAUAAGAAUUUUUAUGUCAAGCAUUAACUGUUUCACUAUGAUAAUUUUAGCAGAAGCGUGCAGCUAGUGUACUGAUCCCACAAUACCAAACUGCUUCCCGUGCUUCUCCAGUGCAAAAAGGCUCACCGUACCCAACUGCUAGAACUGACAUUUCCCCUUCCCACUCCUGAUACUUUCUAUGAUGCAGCUGAGGUGUUGUCAGUACAAAAAAAAAUCUGGCAUACUGAAAACUGCAGAUGUUAAAAAAAAAAAAAGUAUAAAA